rnacentral:snoRNA from 1 species
AAGACUAUACUUUCAGGGAUCAUUUCUAUAGUUCAUUGCUAAAAGUAUCUCGUUCUGUGUCAUUGAUCAGAUAAAAUGCUUAGAAAAGAAGCUUCACUUGGG